UGGUUUGACUCCUUGGUCCGUGUUUCAGACGGGUCCCGAAGGUAUCCUGAAUCUUUCGCAUUGUUAAUCAUAUAAAUGCAUACCAAUAAAUAUUAAUAUCAUAGAUAUUACAUUUUUGAUAAAAUUCAUAUAAAUGAAUUUUAGCAUUAUAUAUAAUAAAAUCUAUCAACACUUUAUCAAAUCAUUAGUAUUUAUUCUAUGUUAAUAUGCUUAAAAAGCAAAUUAAUUUAAAUAAACUUAAAAUCACCAAUGAUCUUUUGAUAAAUAUUUUAUUAUGUUAAUAGAUUACAAUGUCCUUAUAUGAAAAAAAUGCACAUUAUUUUUUUUUUCAAUUAUUUAAUGAUGAAUUUUUCAUAAUGGA
rnacentral:rRNA from 1 species